rnacentral:rRNA from 1 species
UACAGAGGGUGCAAGCGUUGUUCGGAAUUAUUGGGCGUAAAGGGCGCGUAGGCGGUGCGGUAAGUCAGAUGUGAAAAUCCCGGGGCUCAACCCCCGGAACUGCAUCCGAUACUGCCAUGCUAGAGGAUUGGAGAGGUAGCUGGAAUUCUUGGUGUAGCAGUGAAAUGCGUAGAGAUCAAGAGGAACACUCGUGGCGAAAGCGAGCUACUGGACAAUUCCUGACGCUGAGGCUCGAAGGCUAGGGUAGCGAAAGGG